AGCCAUUUAGCUCAGUUGGUAGAGCAUGAAUCUCUUAAUCGCAGAGUUGUGGGUUUGAGACCCACAUUGGGCA